GAUUAGGCUGGUGCAGUGAUAUUGGCCUUGAAGAUGAAAUAGUGAUCGUUGUUGGAAAGCUCUCAACAAUUACUUCCUCCUCAAAGAGAGCUUGUCCUCAGGCGCAAAACUCAAGAUAGCGAGCUGCGAUUGAUCUCGCAUCCUCCCAUGUAGCAUCUAUCUCCAGUAAGCCUUCCCAGUGAAUUAGCCAAGUGGUGAUUGGUUUACCCUUGUGAUGACACAUGCCUGUGUCCAGUACUUUGCUUGGCUUCCAUAGUUCCAUUAGAUUUCUCCUUGCUCGUUGAAUUGGGUGUUGGAAUUUAGUUAGAAUAUUUCAAAAUACCUGCUAUUUUUGAAACCUCCUUUGAACCGUUAUUUGCAGAUAGUAAUAGCCAUUAAUUCUUUUUGUGUCAUUAGCUAUCUUUGAUUGUGAUUGACACAAAGAUUUCAUCAGUUUACUCAUAUAUCAUUCAUUUAUUCAAAGUCUGCAAUUAUGGUGGUUCUUUAUUUGCUUUCUUCCGUUUUGGUUUACUCAUCAAUGUCAAGAUAUAUAUAUUGCCUUUCUGUUACAUAAGUUACAGAGUUUAAAUGUCAUUCCUAUUUUGACGUUUUGAUUCUUCCUAAUCAAUGUCAUAAUAUUCCUUUCGGUUACAUAAGUUACAUAGCUUAAUUGCUAUUAUUAAAUUGUCUUCGCAUUGAUCAUUCCUGCCAUAUAUAUAAUCCCUAGCUUUCUAAAUAAAAAUAUACAACAGAAAUUCAAUCUCUUUUAUUUCCUUUCCGAGCUCAAAGUAUUCAUGUAUUUCCUUUAAUUUAUCUAUUCCACCAAAAGAAAGUUUCAAGCUGUUCGAUACGAUCCGAGUAUUGUGAGUGUACACCUACAAGGAUCGAGGUUGUUGUACCCUGGAGGGUAGGGCACCACAAACCUGCUACACCGAGACAUUAUCUCCGAGGGGCGAAAUAUACUCUUAAGGGCAAUGUUUACACGCCUCAACCUUAAACUCUUUUUUGAAUGAUGUGUUCCUUGGAAGCCUACAAUUGAAGAGAUAAGUCUUAUAAUUCUUGUUAUUUUAAUCUAUAUGACAAUAAAAUAAUGAUAAUUAUUUAUUAUUAAUAUAUUGUAUUUAUGUGAUUUUGUAGGAGAUGAAAUCCGGUGACGGAAAUAGCAUCCAUCGACCAAAUUUUCCAACAUUGGGUAGGGUAGCAAAUAUUGGGGCAGCAUCACCAAUCCUCUUUUUUGAGCAAGGAUACAUGGAAAACAGCGUGAAGCUUGAAAUUGGCUAGUAAUUACAGACAGUAAGCGAUUGGUCUGACUUUCUUUGCGCGAUUGGUCUGACUUUCUUUGCAAUCUGAAAUGGCCUAUGGAAGCGGGGAGCUAAAUUAUGUGCAAGCUUUUCCAGCAACAACUUCUGGCGAUAGAAAUGCAGUUUGAGAAAGAUUCAUUCUCCUUCUAUAUAUGAACUCUCUCUCGGUACAACCCAAAACUAGAAACCUUAAACUCUCCAAAAACAAAUGACCAGACCCGAACAACCCCCGACUCUACCCAUAAUUAUCUCCAUCAUUCGGCAUCCUCCAGCAACGCCACCACGGUCAUUUUCUUCCUCUCUCUCUCUCUCUCUCUCUCUCUCUCCCCCCCCCCCAACCUACCCCGCCAUACCAUCAUCCAUAGACCUCUUCUUCUUCUUUUAUGCUUUCGGCAUAAUUUUUCUUCUUCUAUUGUUAUUUUUCAUUUUUAUUUACUCUAUAUACAUUACGCAUAAAACUAUCAUCUUCAGCUUCCCACCCUCAUCAACCAAGCAAAUGAAUUUUCGAGCCAAUGAAUGAAGGAAAAAGAAAUCUACAAGUGAAUGAAAUUUUUUUAUUUAAACGAGCGAACUUAAGAAUAAACAAAAAUUUGCAAUUGAAUGACUAAAAAAAGUUACACACCGAAUUAAUGAGGGUAAUUUUUAUCCUUCAGUCAAUUGCAAAUUUUUGUUUGUUUGUUUGUUAGUUUGCUUGUUCAAAUAAAAAAAAUUCAUUCGCUUGUAAUUUUUUUUUUCCGCACUGAUGGUAUUGUUCGAUUUCCCUUAUCAGGCUCUGAAUAAGACCAUGUUGCAGACUGCAGAGUUCAAUAUUCUUCUGAAAAACCACAUAUGGGUUCUUGUCCCUCCUGAUCCUCGACAGCAUGUUGUUGGUUGUAAAUGGGUGUUUAAACUCAAGCGCAAGUUCGAUGGUUCUAUUGAGCGGUACAAAGCCCAUCUCAUCAAUAAGGGUUUUCAUCGACAACCUGGUGUUGACUUCGAUCAAACCCACUGUCCUGUAGUUUGACAUACCACCAUCUGGACAGUGCUAUCUUUAGCUAUCUACUUUGGCUGGACCUUCUAUCAAGAUGCUUUUCUUCACCGUGUUCUUGCUGAAAUAGUUUUUAUGAGCCAGUCUCCAUGCUUCAUUGAUCCAACUCGCCCUCAUCAUGUUGCUGCCUCAACAAAGCAAUAUAUGGUUUGAAGCAAGCUCCUAGUGCAUGGUUUCAGAAGUGGAAUCCUACUUCAAUUUGGUUUUCUUCAAAGUCAAGCUGAUCCAUAUAUAUUCAUUUUUCGGACUGAAUCUGCCAUCAUAUGGCUUUUACUCUAUGUGGACGACAUUAUUCUGACUGGGAAUCAACCUAAACUUUUCUCUUUAUUUAUCACCACUCUUAGCAAAGGGUUUGAGUUCACUGAUCUUGGUAGUCUUUCAUACUUUUUGGGGCUAGAAGGUACACCUACUUCUACCGGUCUUCGACUCUCUCAAAUUAAGUACACCACUUAUCUUCUCAUCGCCACUUCAUGACUGCGUGUCAACCUUGUACUACAUCAAUUUGUGCUAUUUCUCAGCUUUCUCAUCACCACUGAGUAUCGAUAAAUUGUAAAAUGGAGUUCUACUCAUGCUAGGAGACCUGUGGAAGCUAGGAGAAGUCUAUGGAACGUCUAUGAAGCAUCUAGAAGUCUCAAGAAGAUCAUUACCGAAUUGGACACAAGUUGUUCUUUAAAAAUCAAAUCCAUUACAGAUUCGGAAAACUACCAGUGCAGAUCAGUCAACUUCAACGGAGUGUAAAAAAUCGCUCAGAGCUCAGAAAAUUAUGAUCUUUAUAUGGUUGGAAAGCUACGGAUGUCUAGUUUCCAGAACUUUUUACAGCUCGUCGAUAUCUAUUUUCUAGAAGAAGUUGUGACCGUUUUAGUGAACUGAGGUCAAGUCUGCCGGAAAUCUGUUUUGUGUCAAAGAAGUUCUAACUCAAUUUGGUUUGUACAACCUAAAAGAGAUAUUUUGGGAGUUCUAAAUCAAAUUGAUUUAUACUUGCUUGUGGAAGAUUCCUAUUGGUCGAAUUAUGAAGAGUAAUCAUGACACCAAGGCUAUAAAUAAAGAGAGGAGGGUGACCAAAAAAAAAAAAGAACACACCUUCCUUCAUCCAUCUCAUCUUCUUUGUCUCUCCAUCUCCUCUCCAUUUUCCUUUUCAUUCUCUAGUCUUCUAGUUCUGCAUUUUCAAGCAAAGAGGAGAAGAAGAAGAAGCCGUGAGCAAUCCUAGCUGCCAUCGUUCCACCUUGUGCCGUGAUAGUGAAGCCUUGCUUUCAAGAUUCAAGAUCAACGUCUCAAGCUCUUCAUCAUCCACUCCAUUCACGGUGUGUACCCUCAAUCCCCGGAUAGAACGAUCCCUAUUUACCAUAUACUAACGAUGACAUUUUAAAGGGUUAAAUUGCGUGCUACUUUUAGCGUGUCACCAUGUUCAAUUUAUGAGUGCUCCUUGAACCUGUCAUCUCAUUGCCGCUAAGCGUAUACUUCAUUAUCUAAAAGGGACUCUGUAAUACCCGAAAAAUUCAAAUUAACGUCCGAUGUCAUUUUGGAAAUGAUUUCGUAGGCGUGGGCACGAAUACGAAGCUUGAAGGAGUUGUGGAAUUAGUUCGAACGAUUUUAUUUCGAAAACGAACGUUAUUUAGGGGGUCUUAAAAAGUGACUUCUUAUACGUACAGAAUUUGGGAAAACUUUCUUCAUGAAAGUUGUAGAGCUCGUCGAUACGAUCUCGUGCGUAUGUUGAACGCAAUAUUCGGAGUUUGUAUGAAUAAGUUAUGAAUAUUUGAAAAUCGGGAUUUUUUUUCUAUAAAUAUGGAGAAUUUCUGGAAUUUUUCUUAAA